rnacentral:pre_miRNA from 15 species
AACCGCAUGAGAUAAUCCAUCUUCCCGUGCGGUCGGGUUAAGUAGACCACACGGGAUAAUCGAUUAUCCCAUGCGGUC